AGUUCGAUCCUGGCUCAGAUUAGACGCUGGCGGGAUGUGCUUACAUGCAAGUCGAACGACAGCACAGACUUCGGUCUGGUGGCGAGUGGCGAACGGGUGAGUAAUGUAUCGGAACGUGCCUAGUAGCGGGGGAUAACUACGCGAAAGCGUAGCUAAUGCCGCAUACGCCCUUCGGGGAAAGCGGGGGACCUUCCGGGCCUCGCACACUAUUAGAGCGGCCGAUAUCGGAUUAGCUAGUUGGUGGGGUAACGGCUCACCAAGGCGGCGAUCCUGGCUGGUUUGGGAGGACGACCAAGCCCGCUGGGGCUGAGACACAGCCCAGACUCCUACGGGAGGCAGCAGUGGGGAAUUUUGGACAAUGGGGAAACCCUGAUCAGCCAUCCCGCGUGUACGAUGAAGGCCUUCGGGUUGUAAAGCACUUUUGGCAGGGAAAGAAACGGCACCGGGAUAUUACCCCGUGCAACUGACGGUACCUGCCGGGAGCAGCGCCAGCCUAACUACAUUAAAAGCAGCCGCGGUAAUGCGUAGGAUACAAGCGUUAAUCAGAUUACUGGGCGUAAAGCGUGCGCAGGCGGUUCGGAAAGAAAGAUGUGAAAUCCCAGGCUUAACUUUGGAACUGCAUUUUUUAACUACCGAGCUAGAGUGUGUCAGGGAGGUGGAAUUCCGCGUGUAGCAGUGAAAUGCGUAGAUAUGCGGAGAACACCGAUGGCGAAGGCAGCCUCCUGGGAUAACACUGACGCUCAUGUACGAAAGCGUGGGGGCAAACAGGAUUAGAUACCCUGGUGGUCGCCUAAACGAUCAUCAAAACUAAGCUGUUGGGCCUUCAGGGCAUGGUGGCGCCAGCUAACGCGUGAAGUUGACCGCCUGGGGAGUACGGUCGCAAGAUUAAAACUCAAAGGAAUUGACGGGGACCCGCACAAGCGGUGGAUGAUGUGGAUUAAUUCGAUGCAACGCGAAAAAACCUUACCUACCCUUGACAUGUCUGGAAUCCAGCAAAGGAUUUAGGAGUGCUCGCAAGAGAACCGGAACACAGGUGCUGCAUGGCUGUCGUCGCUCGUGUCGUGAGGAUGUUGGGUUAAGUCCCUGUGGGCACAAGCCGCCAGUAUUAGUUGCUACGAAAGGCACUCUAAUGAGACUGCCGGUAUCAAACAGGAGAAGGUGGGGAUGACGUCAAGUCCUCAUGGCCCUUAUCGUUGGGGCUUCACACGUCAUACAAUGGUCGGGACAGAGGGUCGCCAACCCGCGAGGGAGCCAAUCCCAGAAACCCGAUCAAGUCCGGAUCGCAGUCUGCAACUCGACUGCGUGAAGUCGGAGAUCGCUAGUAAUCGCGGACCAGCGUGUCGCGGUGAAUACGUUCCCGGGUCUUGUACCCACACCAUAUAUCACACCAUAGGAGUGGUUUCACGAAGUAGUUAGCUAACCGUAAGGAGGGCGAUUACCACGGUAGGAUUCAUGACUGGGGUGAAGUCGUAACAAGGUAG
rnacentral:rRNA from 1 species